rnacentral:rRNA from 1 species
GACGAACGCUGGCGGCGUGCUUAACACAUGCAAGUCGAGCGGUAAGGCCCUUUCGGGGGUACACGAGCGGCGAACGGGUGAGUAACACGUGGGUGACCUGCCCUCAGCUCUGGGAUAAGCCUGGGAAACCGGGUCUAAUACUGGAUAUGACUCCAUGACGCAUGUUGUGGGGUGGAAAGCCUUGUGCGGCCGAGGAUGGGCCCGCGGCCUAUCAGCUUGUUGGUGGGGUGAUGGCCUACCAAGGCGACGACGGGUAGCCGGCCUGAGAGGGCGACCGGCACACUGGGACUGAGACACGGCCCAGGACUCCUACGGGAGGCAGCAGUGGGGAAUCUUGCGCAAAUGGGCGAAAAGCCUGACGCAGCG